rnacentral:rRNA from 1 species
AGCGUACACGGUGGAUGCCCUGGCAGUCAGAGGCGAUGAAGGACGUGCUAAUCUGCGAAAAGCGUCGGUAAGGUGAUAUGAACCGUUAUAACCGGCGAUGUCCGAAUGGGGAAACCCAGUGCAAUUCGUUGCACUAUCGUUAACUGAAUACAUAGGUUAACGAGGCGAACCGGGGGAACUGAAACAUCUAAGUACCCCGAGGAAAAGAAAUCAACCGAGAUUCCCCCAGUAGCGGCGAGCGAACGGGGAGCAGCCCAGAGUCUGAAUCAGCUUGUGUGUUAGUGGAACGGUCUGGAAAGUCCGACGGUACAGGGUGAUAGUCCCGUACACCAAAAUGCACAGGCUGUGAACUCGAAGAGUAGGGCGGGACACGUGGUAUCCUGUCUGAAUAUGGGGGGACCAUCCUCCAAGGCUAAAUACUCCUGACUGACCGAUAGUGAACCAGUACCGUGAGGGAAAGGCGAAAAGAACCCCGGCGAGGGGAGUGAAAAAGAACCUGAAACCGUGUACGUACAAGCAGUGGGAGCACCUUCGGGUGUGACUGCGUACCUUUUGUAUAAUGGGUCAGCGACUUAUAUUCUGUAGCAAGGUUAACCGUAUAGGGGAGCCGCAGGGAAACCGAGUCUUAACUGGGCGUUAAGUUGCAGGGUAUAGACCCGAAACCCGGUGAUCUAGCCAUGGGCAGGUUGAAGGUUGGGUAACACUAACUGGAGGACCGAACCGACUAAUGUUGAAAAAUUAGCGGAUGACUUGUGGCUGGGGGUGAAAGGCCAAUCAAACCGGGAGAUAGCUGGUUCUCCCCGAAAGCUAUUUAGGUAGCGCCUCGUGAACUCAUCUUCGGGGGUAGAGCACUGUUUCGGCUAGGGGGUCAUCCCGACUUACCAACCCGAUGCAAACUACGAAUACCGAAGAAUGUUAUCACGGGAGACACACGGCGGGUGCUAACGUCCGUCGUGAAGAGGGAAACAACCCAGACCGCCAGCUAAGGUCCCAAAGUCAUGGUUAAGUGGGAAACGAUGUGGGAAGGCACAGACAGCCAGGAUGUUGGCUUAGAAGCAGCCAUCAUUUAAAGAAAGCGUAAUAGCUCACUGGUCGAGUCGGCCUGCGCGGAAGAUGUAACGGGGCUAAACCAUGCACCGAAGCUGCGGCAGCGACACUAUGUGUUGUUGGGUAGGGGAGCGUUCUGUAAGCCUGCGAAGGUGUGCUGUGAGGCAUGCUGGAGGUAUCAGAAGUGCGAAUGCUGACAUAAGUAACGAUAAAGCGGGUGAAAAGCCCGCUCGCCGGAAGACCAAGGGUUCCUGUCCAACGUUAAUCGGGGCAGGGUGAGUCGACCCCUAAGGCGAGGCCGAAAGGCGUAGUCGAUGGGAAACAGGUUAAUAUUCCUGUACUUGGUGUUACUGCGAAGGGGGGACGGAGAAGGCUAUGUUAGCCGGGCGACGGUUGUCCCGGUUUAAGCAUGUAGGCUGGUUGUCCAGGCAAAUCCGGAUAAUCAAGGCUGAGGUGUGAUGACGAGGCACUACGGUGCUGAAGUAACAAAUGCCCUGCUUCCAGGAAAAGCCUCUAAGCAUCAGGUAACAUCAAAUCGUACCCCAAACCGACACAGGUGGUCAGGUAGAGAAUACCAAGGCGCUUGAGAGAACUCGGGUGAAGGAACUAGGCAAAAUGGUGCCGUAACUUCGGGAGAAGGCACGCUGGUGUGUAGGUGAAGCCCCUGCGGGUGGAGCUGAGACCAGUCGAAGAUACCAGCUGGCUGCAACUGUUUAUUAAAAACACAGCACUGUGCAAACACGAAAGUGGACGUAUACGGUGUGACGCCUGCCCGGUGCCGGAAGGUUAAUUGAUGGGGUUAUCCGUAAGGAGAAGCUCUUGAUCGAAGCCCCGGUAAACGGCGGCCGUAACUAUAACGGUCCUAAGGUAGCGAAAUUCCUUGUCGGGUAAGUUCCGACCUGCACGAAUGGCGUAAUGAUGGCCAGGCUGUCUCCACCCGAGACUCAGUGAAAUUGAACUCGCUGUGAAGAUGCAGUGUACCCGCGGCAAGACGGAAAGACCCCGUGAACCUUUACUAUAGCUUGACACUGAACAUUGAGCCUUGAUGUGUAGGAUAGGUGGGAGGCUUUGAAGCGUGGACGCCAGUCUGCGUGGAGCCAACCUUGAAAUACCACCCUUUAAUGUUUGAUGUUCUAACGUUGGCCCCUUACCGGGGUUGCGGACAGUGUCUGGUGGGUAGUUUGACUGGGGCGGUCUCCUCCCAAAGCGUAACGGAGGAGCACGAAGGUUAGCUAAUCCUGGUCGGACAUCAGGAGGUUAGUGCAAUGGCAUAAGCUAGCUUGACUGCGAGCGUGACGGCGCGAGCAGGUGCGAAAGCAGGUCAUAGUGAUCCGGUGGUUCUGAAUGGAAGGGCCAUCGCUCAACGGAUAAAAGGUACUCCGGGGAUAACAGGCUGAUACCGCCCAAGAGUUCAUAUCGACGGCGGUGUUUGGCACCUCGAUGUCGGCUCAUCACAUCCUGGGGCUGAAGUAGGUCCCAAGGGUAUGGCUGUUCGCCAUUUAAAGUGGUACGCGAGCUGGGUUUAGAACGUCGUGAGACAGUUCGGUCCCUAUCUGCCGUGGGCGCUGGAGAAUUGAGGGGGGCUGCUCCUAGUACGAGAGGACCGGAGUGGACGCAUCACUGGUGUUCGGGUUGUCAUGCCAAUGGCACUGCCCGGUAGCUAAAUGCGGAAGAGAUAAGUGCUGAAAGCAUCUAAGCACGAAACUUGCCCCGAGAUGAGUUCU